ACAGAGGUCCCGAGCGUUGUUCGGAUUCACUGGGCGUAAAGGGUGCGUAGGUGGUGAGGUAAGUCGGAUGUGAAAUCUCCGGGCUCAACCCGGAAAUGGCAUUGGAAACUACCUUGCUGGAGGAUUUGAGGGGGGAUUGGAAUACUUGGUGUAGCAGUGAAAUGCGUAGAUAUCAAGUGGAACACCAGUGGCGAAGGCGAAUCCCUGGAAAAUACCUGACACUGAGGCACGAAAGCUAGGGGAGCAAACAGGA
rnacentral:rRNA from 1 species